GCUGCCAUAGCUCAGCGGAUUAGAGUGGAUGUCUUCGAAACAUCAGGUCGUGGGUUCGAAUCCCACUGGCAGCA
rnacentral:tRNA from 1 species